GUUUCUUCAAUGAGCUUACAUGAGGGAAUCGAUGAUAUCACUUGAAGAAUUGGGCAUACUGAAUCCUGCAAUAAAGAUCAAUAGUUAGUAUCACAAUCACGAUCCAAAGACUUUACCAAAGUGUCUUCUUCCUCGUCCACUAAACUUGGCAUAAUAGAAAAAGUUCUUGAACCUUCUUCCAAUAGGAGAACUCCAUCCCUCUGAGAGGCACUCCAGAAGUAUUUUGCAGCACUCCUGAUGAAGAAGUGUCACCCCAAACUCAUCGGCUAGUAAAAGUAGCUGAAGUAACAAGGUAUUGAUUCCUGCAGUAGCUUCUUUAUUAAGUUCUCCACUGUACAUGAAUUCUAGCAUAAUCUUGAAUGCCUCAAGAGGAACAUCUUUUAAGCAGACCACUGAAGAAACACUCUCCCUCAUUCCAUUUGUAAA
rnacentral:misc_RNA from 1 species